UGAUUAGCUCAGUUGGUAGAGCAGCUGACUCUUAAUCAGCGGGCCGCGGGUUCGAAUCCCUCAUCACC
rnacentral:tRNA from 3 species